rnacentral:misc_RNA from 1 species
UACGUAGGGGGCAAGCGUUGCCCGGAUUCACUGGGCGUAAAGCGCGUGUAGGCGGUCCGUUAAGUCGGAUGUGAAAUCCCAGGGCUCAACCCUGGAAUUGCAUCCGAUACUGGCAGACUUGAGGACGGUAGAGGCCGGUGGAAUUCCCGGUGUACCGGUGAAAUGGGCAGAUAUCGGGAGGAACACCAGUGGCGAAGGCGGCCGGCUGGGCCGAUCCUGACGCUGAGACGCGAAAGCCAGGGGAGCGAACCGG